ACAUGCACAGUUAACCAGCUUCUUCCCAUCUCCCAAGCUAGUAGCUAACUUUUUCUUCCAUAAUCCACGAGAACUGCAUACAAUGGCCGUAGUUACUGUCACUCGUAAGGAGACCACAAUUGUCGCCAUGAGCAUUGUGUUGAUUCUGUGUUGGUUAGGGCAGUCGGCGACUGCGACAUAUUGCAGUGAUUACUGUGCCUCCAUGUGCAUGUCGGUGUGCAACAAUGCCGCUUCCAGCUCUUGCGGUAACGUUAAGAACACAGUUAUGCAACAGUGUGUGCCCUCCUGCUCCAGCAGCUGCAGCAGAUCCUGCAGCGCAUGCAACUGUUUGGGUACAUGCACCGGCAUCUGCAGUAACGCAGCCGAUAGUGCAUACGGCAAUUGCCGGUCCUCAGUCCUCCAGCAGUGCUCCAACGGCUGCAACAGCGGCUGCAACAGCAACUGCAGGAACUAGCCCCCUCGUGGCCCCAUGAGCCAGCGGCUGCAACAGCAACUGCAGGAACUAGCCCCCUCGUGGCCCCAUGAGCCGCGCCUCGCGUGCUUUAACGGAUGAAUCGUCGGCAUGCGUUGAUUAUUGUGUUUAUUUGUGUUUGCAUCGUCAAAAUAUAUACAAUUGUGUUACCGUUCGAAAAUGUGUAAGAAUGGCGUGUCAAGUCUACAGGUUGUUGUCCAUGUUAGUUUGCAUGGUCCGGUAAUCAGUUGUACUGUGUUGAGUCAAUAAACAUGUCAGUGAAAACAACUGUAUGGAGCUGCCUUCUCAGCCACAUGACAAAACUUUUCGUGUAUUCUUCCAGUAAUACAACCUUAGAAGGCUUAUAG
rnacentral:lncRNA from 1 species